CACGUAGGCGGUCUGCUAAGUUCGGAGUGACAGUCACCAGCUUAAACUGGUGAAGUACUUUGAAAACUGGCGGACUUGAGAGCGAAAGAGGGACACGGAAUUCCGGGUGGAGCAGUGAAAUGUGUAGAGAUCCGGAGGAACACCAAAGGCGAAGGCAGUGUCCUGGCUCGUUUCUGACGCUGAGGUGCGAAAGCCAGGGGAGCGAACGGGAUUAGAUACCCCGGUAGUCCUGGCCGUAAACGAUGACCACUAGGCGUGGGAGGGAUCGACCCCUUCCGUGCCGUAGUCAACACAUUAAGUGGUCCGCCUGGGGAGUACGGUCGCAAGACUAAA
rnacentral:rRNA from 1 species